AGAGUUUGAUCAUGGCUCAGGACGAACGCUGGCGGCGUGCCUAAUACAUGCAAGUCGAGCGAAUCGAUGGGAGCUUGCUCCCUGAGAUUAGCGGCGGACGGGUGUGUAACACGUGGGCAACCUGCCUAUAAGACUGGGAUAACUUCGGGAAACCGGAGCUAAUACCGGAUACGUUCUUUUCUCGCAUGAGAGAAGAUGGAAAGACGGUUUACGCUGUCACUUAUAGAUGGGCCCGCGGCGCAUUAGCUAGUUGCUGAGGUAAUGGCUCACCAAGGCGACGAUGCGUAGCCGACCUGAGAGGGUGAUCGGCCACACUGGGACUGAGACACGGCCCAGACUCCUACGGGAGGCAGCAGUAGGGAAUCUUCCGCAAUGGACGAAAGUCUGACGGAGCAACGCCGCGUGAACGAAGAAGGCCUUCGGGUCGUAAAGUUCUCUUGUUAGGGAAGAACAAGUACCAGAGUAACUGCUGGUACCUUGACGGUACCUAACCAGAAAGCCACGGCUAACUACGUGCCAGCAGCCGCGGUAAUACGUAGGUGGCAAGCGUUGUCCGGAAUUAUUGGGCGUAAAGCGCGCGCAGGUGGUUCCUUAAGUCUGAUGUGAAAGCCCACGGCUCAACCGUGGAGGGUCAUUGGGAAACUGG
rnacentral:rRNA from 1 species